AUGAGAAUACCACGACAGUUGGCGCCCACCGUGGUGCGGUACUAUGCUACCGCGCUGCUGCUGGUUUCGCAGUCCGGGCGGGACCAUCUUUGUCAUCUCCGCCACGACGUCGCCUUCGUCUCUCCGGUAGCGCUCGGGGGCUCGACAUCGACACGCCGCCGGAGCGGCCGCGAGGGGCGGCGCGUCCUUGCUGCCGGCGUCGCCAUCUUCAUCAUCACCGCGACGUUGCCACCUCUCCGGCGCCGGUCGAGGGCUCGACAUCAGCACGCCCUCGGCGCGUUCGUGAGGGGUGGUGCGUCUUCGUCAUCACCACCGCAACGCCGGCGGUCCGUUUGCGCGCGCCGCACGCGGGGCCUUGCUUUGGUCGGCCGUGUCGGUCCACAUGCCGCUCACGUCUGCUCCCCUCCGCGUUGUGCCUUGCUCCGCCGAAGCAUGCAUUUUCCACUCCAUACCAUCUACAAGCUAGCUAGAUGCUAG
rnacentral:rRNA from 1 species